GAUGAACGCUGGCGGCGUGCCUAAUACAUGCAAGUCGAGCGAACAGACGCGGAGCUUGCUCCUCUGACGUUAGCGGCGGAAGGGAGAGUAACACGUGGAUCACCUACCUAUAAGACUGGGAUCACUUCGGGAAACUGGAGCUAAUACCGGGCUAUAUAUUGAACCGCAUGGUUCAAUAGUUAAAUACGGUUUUGCUGUCACUUCUCGAUGGAUCCGCGCUGCAUUAGGUAGUUGGUAAGGUAACGCUUUACCAAGGCAACGAUGCGUAGCCGACCUGAGAGGGGGAUCCGGCACACGGGAGCGGAGGCACGCACUAGAACUGUACUGGAGGCAAAAGUCGGGAAGCUGGCAGAAGGGGCGAAUACUGGACAGUGCAAGGCAGUGUGAUUGAGGAAGGUCGUGGGAGCGUAAAACUCUGUUGGGUGGGAAGAAGAAUUGUGUAGUUAACUAGGCACGUCGUGACGGUACCUAAACAGGAAGCAACGGCUAACUACGUG
rnacentral:rRNA from 1 species